rnacentral:tRNA from 1 species
GGAGGGUGUAGCUCAGUGGUAGAGUGCAUGCUUAGCAUGCAUGAGGUCCUGGGUUCAAUCCCCAGCACCUCCA